GAAGAGCCGCUGCUUCCAGCUGUAGGACUUGCGAUCCUAGGGGAUGAGCUGUCUGGUCACUCCGCAGCUUGUGGAGUCCAACUCUUCACGCCUGCCCAGGCACAUAGCCUUCCCAGGAUCAACAAGGCCAUGUCAUAAAUCCGGGAACAUUCUGCAAAGGCCACCUGGAGUCCAGCACACAGUGACCAGCACACAGUGACCAACUGGACCAAGACCAAGGG